UGCAAUGGCUAAAAUGUAACAAUCGAAUAGUCGCAUGGUUGCUGGAAUCGAUUUCUCCUCUAAUUGCAGCAACGAUUUUCUACAUCAACUAAACGGCACAAAUUUGAGAGGUUCUGAAGAAGCAUUUUGCUCAGCCUAAUGAUUCACGGAUCUGUAAUCUCCAGUUUAUUCUUUCCAAUGUCACACAAGUGGAUGCUUGCUGGCUUGGGGGAAGACGUUGGGGGGGUUUCUGUUUUUCAGGUGAAGACUUCCUGUCGCUGUGGUUGUGUUGUUGAGGCUCAGUUGGGAGGAUGCUUCUUGCGGGGUUCUCCUGGCCUCUGAUGGUGUUUCGUUUUUGUUGAUGUCAACUUUGCGACAGCUGGUUGUUUCCUUGUUGCUCUUGAUGUUGCUCGACCUGGUGUGGUGACUGCUGUUGUUCUCUCCAUGGAUGGCUACCGUUUCUCCUUUAUGUUGGCUGGUUCCUAAAGGGGUAAUGGUCUUUCUUGUUUGGUCUCCUGCUUGUUCCGGAAGAAUUCAAUAUGUGGUUGCCGCUUACUUGCUUGCCUUUUCGGUUUGGUUUCUCCUAGAUUGCCCUACUUAGCUUAUAUCGAGACUUGGAGGUUGUCCAACGCCUCCAAUUGAACCGAAGGCUCCUGUUGCGGGGUUGUGUUGUCCAAUACCUUUCAUUGUUGACGCAUCUAUGGCUGCUCCUAGCAAGUUUCGCUUUUCACUCUGCUUGCGGCCUGGAUUAUUUAUGUGCAUUUUGGGCGCUUUUCUCCUUCUUCAUGGCUGCUUGGGUCGUUUCUCCUUGAUUUCUUUGGGUCCUUUUUUGUGGCUGAGUUACUUUUGUAUAGGUUGCCUUUUCCUUGGUUACGAGCAAAAUGCUCUGUUUUUGUGUGGUAUAAAUAGGUUCCUUUUCUUGUAA